rnacentral:lncRNA from 1 species
ACAAAGUUAAAAGUAGGAAAAGGAGUUUGUAGCAGAAUAGUCACUGUUCCCAUUGGUCUAAAUUGAUUGACGUUUUGCCAACGAGGCCAUGUGGUAAAACUUCUAAUACGGCCAAAACUUAGAAAGGCUAAAGCAUCCAUGUAACUGUACGUGGACAUAGUUUAUUUAUUUGUCUAUGUCAAUGGGUACUUUAUAUCGUAAAUACAAAAAGACUAGGGAGUUCUACACUUGUCAAUUAAUGGGGAUUUACUUUCGAGAUGAGAGAUGAUGUUUAAUUUUUUAUGCUUCUUAUACUAUCUCGAGAAAGUUAAGUGGGA